GGGAUAACUCGACGAAAGUCGAGCUAAUACCGCAUAAGCUCCCGGCCCAGCCGGGAGGAAAGCUUCCGCAAGGAGGCGACUUGGGAGGGGCCCGCGGCCGAUUAGCUCGUUGGCAGGGUAAGAGCCUACCAAGGCAUCGAUCGGUAGCCGGUCUGAGAGGACGGACGGCCACACUGGAACUGAGAGACGGUCCAGACUCCUACGGGAGGCAGCAGUGGGGAAUUUUGCGCAAUGGCCGCAAGGCUGACGCAGCAACGCCGCGUGGAGGAAGAAGGUCUUCGGAUCGUAAACUCCUGUCGGAGGGGAAAAAGAGAGUGAUGGUACCCUUCGAGGAAGCCCCGGCUAACUCCGUGCCAGCAGCCGCGGUAAUAUGGGGGGGGCAAGCGUUGUUCGGAAUUACUGGGCGUAAAGGGCGCGUAGGCGGCCCUCGCAGUCUUGGGUGAAAGUCCUCGGCUCAACCGGGGAAGGGCCUGAGAAACCUGGGGGCUGGAGUGCUGGAGAGGGAAGCGGAAUUCCCGGUGUAGCGGUGAAAUGCGUAGAAAUCGGGAGGAACACCAGCGGCGAAGGCGGCUUCCUGGACAGACACUGACGCUGAGGCGCGAAAGCUAGGGGAGCAAACGGGAUUAGAUACCCCGGUAGUCCUAGCCUUAAACGAUGGAUACUAGGCGUAGGGGGUGGUAAAGUCCCUCGGUGCCGACGGCAACCCGCUAAGUAUCCCGCCUGGGGAGUACGAUCGCAAGAUUGAAACUCAAAGGAAUUGACGGGGGCCCGCACAAGCGGUGGAGCAUGUGGUUUAAUUCGACGCAACGCGAAGAACCUUACCGGGGUUUGAACUGCUACUGCGACUUGGAGAGAUCCGGGGUUUUCCUUUGGAGACGGUAGCAGAGGUGCUGCAUGGCUGUCGUCAGCUCGUGUCGUGAGAUGUUGGGUUAAGUCCCGCAACGAGCGCAACCCUUGUCGGUAGUUGCUAACAGGUGAUGCUGAGCACCCUACCGAGACUGUCGGCGAAAAGCCGGAGGAAGGUGGGGAUGACGUCAAGUCCUCAUGGCCUUUAUGCCCCGGGCUACACACGUGCUACAAUGGGCGCGACACUGGGGAGCCUACUCGCGAGGG
rnacentral:rRNA from 1 species